CAGAAUGUACGACAUGUUCAUGUUUUUAGUUGCAUUACAGAAAAUAAAAGGACUUUAUCACAAUAUUCUAAUUUUCUGAGACAGUCCUGUAUAUUUACUUACAUUUUUAUUUCUUUUUUUCAGAUUAAAAAGAGAGAACAAAUGAUGAUUGACGAUGUUAACAAAGUAGCACAUCAAAGCACCAACACUGACGCUGCACCCGACAAGGUCGCCGAGGUGGUCUCACCGUGUAAACGAGGAAGACUAUGAAGGCCACUUGAGGGAGGUUCAGUGUCAUGAAGAUCCACACCAGGACUUUGGACUCCUUUAGCACCUGUAGGACACACAUCAAAUACAAUAUGGUACACUGCAAUAUUAUUCACUUGAAUACUUACUGCAGCUGCUCCGACGGCGGCGGUCAGGCAGGCCCAGACCACGCCCACUCCCAGGAGGACGCCGUUGCGGGUGGACAUGGUGGAGUCCCACGUGGUGACCAGGACACACAGACACAACUGCAACAACACAAUCAGAUGCUGCCUUUUCAACUUUGCGCUGGAACAAUCCGAAUGGUUCUUUUCCUCUUCGGUCCAGAAGACAUGAGGUCCACAGUUUCCAAAAACUAUUUGAAAUGUGGACUCGUCAGACCCCAGAACACUUUUCUACUUUGCAUCAGUCCAUCUUAGAUGAGCUCGGGUCCAGCAAAACCGGUGGGGUUUCUGGGUGUUGUUGAUAAAUGGCUUUUGCCUUGCAUAGUAGAGCUUCAACUUGCACUUACAGAUGUAGCAACAAAAUGUGGUUAAUGACAGUGGUUUCCUGAAGUGUUCCUGAGCCCAUGUGGUGAUAUCCUUUACACACCGAUGUCGCUUUUUGAUGCAGGGAUCCAAGGUCACAGGCAUUCAAUGUUAUGUGCAGUGAUUUUUCCAGAUUCUCUGAACCUUUUGAUGAUAUUAAAGAUGGUGAAAUCCUUAACUUCCUUGCAAUAGCUGGUUGAGAAAUGUGGUUUUUGAACCGUUAAAUAAUAUGCUCAUGCAAUUGUUGACAAAGUGGUGACCCUCGCCCUAUCCUUGUUUGUGAAUGACUGAGCAUUUAAUGGAAACUGCUUUUAUACCCAAUCAUGGCACCCACCUGUUCCCAAUUAGCCUGUUCACCUGUGGGAUGUUCCAAAUAUGUGUUUGAUGAGCAUUCCUCAACGUUCUCAGUCUUUUUUACCACUUGUGCCAGCUUUUUUGAAACACGUUGCUGGCAUCAAAUUCCAAAUGAGCUAAUAUUUGCAAAAGAAUAAAGUUUACUAUUGUAAA